GCAUGGUAUACAGGCGAAGUAAAAACAGGAGCACUCUCUCGGUUUCCAAGUGUAUUUCAAAAGUUAUCACCACCUAUACAUCAAUGUUUCGACUGUUCGAUUUUGAUAAAGACGUUGAUGUAUAGGUGGUGAUAACUUUUGAAAUACACUUGGAAAACUGAGAGAGUGCUCCUGUUUUUACUUCAUUUACAUAUAUA